rnacentral:rRNA from 1 species
GACGAGCGGCGCGGGUGUUAUUCGUUUUGAUUGGGUGUAAAGGGUAUGUAGACUGCUAUUGUUUUCGGUGACUGAAAACGCAGAGUGUUCCUAUGCGAAUGGUCCUUGCACAUAACAUAGCUUGUGUCAGGAAGUGGUUGGGGCAAUUUCAUGUGUAGGGGUAUAAUCCCGACAUAUAUGGAGGAACGCCGAUGAGCGAAGGCACCUUUCCAGCUUUGACAGACGUUGAGGUACGGAAGCUCAGGUAUCAAACAGG